CCCUUAGAUGUUCUGGGCUGCACGCGCGCGACAAUGACGUUUGCAACGAGAUUGCGAGGCCGUCAGGUCGAGCUGAUCUUGCAAGCUGCGUCGUGAUAGGGACAGUCGAUUGCAAUUAUUCGACUCGAACGAGGAAUUCCUUGUAAUCGCGCAUCAUCAGUGCGCGCUGAAUACGUCCCUGCCCUUUGUACACACCGCCCGUCGCUCCUACCGAUUGAGUGGUCCGGUGAAGCCUCGGGAUUGCUGUGAGUUUCCUUCAUUGGGAACUCGCGGCGAGAACUUGUCUAAACCUUAUCAUUUAGAGGAAGGUGAAGUUGUAACA
rnacentral:rRNA from 1 species